GCNAACUCCGUGCCAGCAGCCGCGGUAAUACGGAGGAUUCAAGCGUUAUCCGGAUUUAUUGGGUUUAAAGGGUGCGUAGGCGGUUUGAUAAGUUGAGGGUGAAAUCCCGGGGGUUAACUCCGGAACUGCCUCUAAUUCUGUUAGACUAGAGAGUAGUUGCGGUAGGCGGAAUGUAUGGUGUAGCGGUGAAAUGUUUAGAGAUCAUACAGAACACCGAUUGCGAAGGCAGCUUACCAAACUAUAUCUGACGUUGAGGCACGAAAGCGUGGGGAGCAAACAGGAUUAGAUACCCUGGUAGUCCACGCAGUAAACGAUGAUAACUCGUUGUCGGCGAUACACAGUCGGUGACUAAGCGAAAGCGAUAAGUUAUCCACCUGGGGAGUACGUUCGCAAGAAUGAAACUCAAAGGAAUUGACGGGGGCCCGCACAAGCGGAGGAACAUGUGGUUUAAUUCGAUGAUACGCGAGGAACCUUACCCGGGCUUGAAAGUUACUGACGACUCUGGAAACAGGAUUUCCCUUUGGGGCAGGAAACUAGGUGCUGCAUGGUUGUCGUCAGCUCGUGCCGUGAGGUGUCGGGUUAAGUCCCAUAACGAGCGCAACCCCUACCGUUAGUUGCCAUCAGGUCAAGCUGGGCACUCUGGCGGGACUGCCGGUGUAAGCCGAGAGGAAGGUGGGGAUGACGUCAAAUCAGCACGGCCCUUACGUCCGGGGCUACACACGUGUUACAAUGGUAGGUACAGAGGGUCGCUACCCCGCGAGGGGAUGCCAAUCUCGAAAGCCUAUCUCAGUUCGGAUUGGAGGCUGAAACCCGCCUCCAUGAAGUUGGAUUCGCUAGUAAUCGCGCAUCAGCCAUGGCGCGGUGAAUACGUUCCCGGGCCUUGUACACACCGCCCGUCAAGCCAUGGAAGCUGGGGGUUCCUGAGGUUCGUGACCGCAAGGAGCGA
rnacentral:rRNA from 1 species